UGGCGGCGUGCCUAAUACAUGCAAGUCGAGCGCAGGAAAUAAACAGAACCCUUCGGGGUGAUGUUUAUGGAAUGAGCGGCGGACGGGUGAGUAACACACUGGGCAACCUGCCUGUAAGAUCGGGAUAACUCGCGGAAACGUGAGCUAAUACCGGAUAACACUUUUCAUCAUAUGGUGAGAAGAUAAAAGACGGUUUCGGCUGUCACUUACAGAUGGGCCCGCGGCGCAUUAGCUAGUUGGUGAGGUAACGGCUCACCAAGGCGACGAUGCGUAGCCGACCUGAGAGGGUGAUCGGCCACACUGGGACUGAGACACGGCCCAGACUCCUACGGGAGGCAGCAGUAGGGAAUCUUCCGCAAUGGACGAAAGUCUGACGGAGCAACGCCGCGUGAGUGAUGAAGGUUUUCGGAUCGUAAAACUCUGUUGUUAGGGAAGAACAAGUUGGGUAGUAACUGACCCAACCUUGACGGUACCUAACCAGAAAGCCACGGCUAACUACGUGCCAGCAGCCGCGGUAAUACGUAGGUGGCAAGCGUUGUCCGGAAUUAUUGGGCGUAAAGCGCUCGCAGGCGGUCUUUUAAGUCUGAUGUGAAAGCCCACGGCUUAACCGUGGAGGGUCAUUGGAAACUGGAGGACUUGAGUACAGAAGAGGAGAGUGGAAUUCCACGUGUAGCGGUGAAAUGCGUAGAGAUGUGGAGGAACACCAGUGGCGAAGGCGACUCUCUGGUCUGUAACUGACGCUGAGGAACGAAAGCGUGGGUAGCCAACAGGAUUAAAUACCCUGGUAGUCCACGCCGUAAAC
rnacentral:rRNA from 1 species